GGGUUGUGAGGUUAAGCGACUAAGCGUACACGGUGGAUGCCCUGGCAGUCAGAGGCGAUGAAGGACGUGCUAAUCUGCGAUAAGCGUCGGUAAGGUGAUAUGAACCGUUAUAACCGGCGAUUUCCGAAUGGGGAAACCCAGUGUGAUUCGUCACACUAUCAUUACGUGAAUACAUAGCGUAAUGAAGCGAACCGGGGGAACUGAAACAUCUAAGUACCCCGAGGAAAAGAAAUCAACCGAGAUUCCCCCAGUAGCGGCGAGCGAACGGGGAGCAGCCCAGAGUCUGAAUCAGCUUGUGUGUUAGUGGAACGGUCUGGAAAGUCCGACGGUACAGGGUGAUAGUCCCGUACACCAAAAUGCACAGGUUGUGAACUCGAAGAGUAGGGCGGGACACGUGGUAUCCUGUCUGAAUAUGGGGGGACCAUCCUCCAAGGCUAAAUACUCCUGACUGACCGAUAGUGAACCAGUACCGUGAGGGAAAGGCGAAAAGAACCCCGGCGAGGGGAGUGAAAAAGAACCUGAAACCGUGUACGUACAAGCAGUGGGAGCCUCUUUAUGGGGUGACUGCGUACCUUUUGUAUAAUGGGUCAGCGACUUAUAUUCUGUAGCAAGGUUAACCGUAUAGGGGAGCCGAAGGGAAACCGAGUCUUAACUGGGCGUUAAGUUGCAGGGUAUAGACCCGAAACCCGGUGAUCUAGCCAUGGGCAGGUUGAAGGUUGGGUAACACUAACUGGAGGACCGAACCGACUAAUGUUGAAAAAUUAGCGGAUGACUUGUGGCUGGGGGUGAAAGGCCAAUCAAACCGGGAGAUAGCUGGUUCUCCCCGAAAGCUAUUUAGGUAGCGCCUCGUGAAUUCAUCUUCGGGGGUAGAGCACUGUUUCGGCUAGGGGGUCAUCCCGACUUACCAACCCGAUGCAAACUGCGAAUACCGAAGAAUGUUAUCACGGGAGACACACGGCGGGUGCUAACGUCCGUCGUGAAGAGGGAAACAACCCAGACCGCCAGCUAAGGUCCCAAAGUCAUGGUUAAGUGGGAAACGAUGUGGGAAGGCACAGACAGCCAGGAUGUUGGCUUAGAAGCAGCCAUCAUUUAAAGAAAGCGUAAUAGCUCACUGGUCGAGUCGGCCUGCGCGGAAGAUGUAACGGGGCUAAACCAUGCACCGAAGCUGCGGCAGCGACACUAUGUGUUGUUGGGUAGGGGAGCGUUCUGUAAGCCGUUGAAGGUGUAUCGUGAGGUAUGCUGGAGGUAUCAGAAGUGCGAAUGCUGACAUAAGUAACGAUAAUGCGGGUGAAAAACCCGCACGCCGGAAGACCAAGGGUUCCUGUCCAACGUUAAUCGGGGCAGGGUGAGUCGACCCCUAAGGCGAGGCCGAAAGGCGUAGUCGAUGGGAAACAGGUUAAUAUUCCUGUACUUGGUGUUACUGCGAAGGGGGGACGGAGAAGGCUAUGUUAGCCGGGCGACGGUUGUCCCGGUUUAAGCAUGUAGGCGGAGGUUCCAGGUAAAUCCGGUACCUUUUAACGCUGAGGUGUGAUGACGAGGCACUACGGUGCUGAAGUAACAAAUGCCCUGCUUCCAGGAAAAGCCUCUAAGCAUCAGGUAACACGAAAUCGUACCCCAAACCGACACAGGUGGUCAGGUAGAGAAUACCAAGGCGCUUGAGAGAACUCGGGUGAAGGAACUAGGCAAAAUGGUGCCGUAACUUCGGGAGAAGGCACGCUGAUAUGUAGGUGAAGUGAUUUACUCAUGGAGCUGAAAUCAGUCGAAGAUACCAGCUGGCUGCAACUGUUUAUUAAAAACACAGCACUGUGCAAACACGAAAGUGGACGUAUACGGUGUGACGCCUGCCCGGUGCCGGAAGGUUAAUUGAUGGGGUUAUCCGUAAGGAGAAGCUCUUGAUCGAAGCCCCGGUAAACGGCGGCCGUAACUAUAACGGUCCUAAGGUAGCGAAAUUCCUUGUCGGGUAAGUUCCGACCUGCACGAAUGGCGUAAUGAUGGCCAGGCUGUCUCCACCCGAGACUCAGUGAAAUUGAACUCGCUGUGAAGAUGCAGUGUACCCGCGGCAAGACGGAAAGACCCCGUGAACCUUUACUAUAGCUUGACACUGAACACUGGUCCUUGAUGUGUAGGAUAGGUGGGAGGCUUUGAAGUGUGGACGCCAGUCUGCAUGGAGCCAUCCUUGAAAUACCACCCUUUAAUGGCUGGUGUUCUAACGUGGACCCGUAAUCCGGGUUGCGGACAGUGUCUGGUGGGUAGUUUGACUGGGGCGGUCUCCUCCUAAAGAGUAACGGAGGAGCACGAAGGUUAGCUAAUCCUGGUCGGACAUCAGGAGGUUAGUGCAAAGGCAUAAGCUAGCUUGACUGCGAGAGUGACGGCUCGAGCAGGUGCGAAAGCAGGUCUUAGUGAUCCGGUGGUUCUGAAUGGAAGGGCCAUCGCUCAACGGAUAAAAGGUACUCCGGGGAUAACAGGCUGAUACCGCCCAAGAGUUCAUAUCGACGGCGGUGUUUGGCACCUCGAUGUCGGCUCAUCACAUCCUGGGGCUGAAGUAGGUCCCAAGGGUAUGGCUGUUCGCCAUUUAAAGUGGUACGCGAGCUGGGUUUAGAACGUCGUGAGACAGUUCGGUCCCUAUCUGCCGUGGGCGCUGGAGAAUUGAGGGGGGCUGCUCCUAGUACGAGAGGACCGGAGUGGACGCAUCACUGGUGUUCGGGUUGUCAUGCCAAUGGCAUUGCCCGGUAGCUAAAUGCGGAAGAGAUAAGUGCUGAAAGCAUCUAAGCACGAAACUUGCCCCGAGAUGAGUUCUCCCUGAGACUAUAAGUCUCCUGAAGGAACGUUGAAGACGACGACGUUGAUAGGUCGGGUGUGUAAGUGUAGCGAUACAUUGAGCUAACCGAUACUAAUGAACCGUGAGGCUUAACCUUACAACGCCGAAG
rnacentral:rRNA from 1 species